UACAGAGGUCUCAACCGUUGUUCGGAUUCAUUGGGCGUAAAGGGUGCGUAGGCGGUCGUGCAAGUCGGAUGUGAAAUCUCAGGGCUCAACCCUGAAACUGCAUUCGAUACUGCGCGGCUAGAGUGCUGGAGGGGAGACUGGAAUUUACGGUGUAGCAGUGAAAUGCGUAGAUAUCGAGAGGAACACCUGCGGCGAAGGCGGGUUGCUGGGCUGACACUGACGCUGAUGCGCGAAAGCGUGGGGAGCAAACAGG
rnacentral:rRNA from 1 species